rnacentral:rRNA from 1 species
AUGCAGUCGAGCGGAACGAGUUAUCUGAACCUUCGGGGAACGAUAACGGCGUCGAGCGGCGGACGGGUGAGUAAUGCCUAGGAAAUUGCCCUGAUGUGGGGGAUAACCAUUGGAAACGAUGGCUAAUACCGCAUAAUGCCUACGGGCCAAAGAGGGGGACCUUCGGGCCUCUCGCGUCAGGAUAUGCCUAGGUGGGAUUAGCUAGUUGGUGAGGUAAGGGCUCACCAAGGCGACGAUCCCUAGCUGGUCUGAGAGGAUGAUCAGCCACACUGGAACUGAGACACGGUCCAGACUCCUACGGGAGGCAGCAGUGGGGAAUAUUGCACAAUGGGCGCAAGCCUGAUGCAGCCAUGCCGCGUGUGUGAAGAAGGCCUUCGGGUUGUAAAGCACUUUCAGUCGUGAGGAAGGUAGUGUAGUUAAUAGCUGCAUUAUUUGACGUUAGCGACAGAAGAAGCACCGGCUAACUCCGUGCCAGCAGCCGCGGUAAUACGGAGGGUGCGAGCGUUAAUCGGAAUUACUGGGCGUAAAGCGCAUGCAGGUGGUUUGUUAAGUCAGAUGUGAAAGCCCGG